rnacentral:rRNA from 1 species
UCAUUAUUGAAAUAAACUGAUGGGUUGUUGCUGGUUCUCCAGGGAGCAUGUGCACACCUUGUCAUCUUUAUAUCUCCACCUGUGCACCCUUUGUAGACCUCCCAGGUCUAUGUUGAUUCUUCAUUUACCCCAAUGUAUGUUAAUAGAAUGUCGUGACUAUAUAAAAUUUAUACAACUUUCAGCAACGGAUCUCUUGGCUCUCGCAUCGAUGAAGAACGCAGCGAAAUGCGAUAAGUAAUGUGAAUUGCAGAAUUCAGUGAAUCAUCGAAUCUUUGAACGCACCUUGCGCUCCUUGGUAUUCCGAGGAGCAUGCCUGUUUGAGUGUCAUUAAUAUAUCAAACCCUCUCUUGUUGAGUGGUUUGGAUGUGGGGGGUUUGCUGGCCUCGUAAAAAGGGUUCAGCUCCCCUGAAAUACAUUAGCAGAACAACCCUGUUCAUUGGUGUGAUAAAAUAUCUACGCUAUUGAAUGUGUGGGGCAGUUCAGCUUUCUAACGGUCCUUUGGACAAAUAUUUAUCAUUUAUGUGACCUCAAAUCAGGUAGGACUACCCGCUGAACUUAA